rnacentral:rRNA from 1 species
CUUUACUGUAGCCUGGAAUUGGGUCCGGGCUUCGCUUGCGCAGGAUAGGUGGGAGGCACUGAAACACUCCUUGUGGGGAGUGUGGAGCCAACGGUGAGAUACCACUCUUUCAGAGCUAGGGUUCUAACGGUCACCCGUCAUCCGGGGACCGGACAGUAUCAGGUGGGCAGUUUGACUGGGGCGGUCGCCUCCUAAAAGGUAACGGAGGCGCGCAAAGGUUCCCUCCGGCUGGUUGGAAAUCAGCCCGUAGAGUGCAAAGGCAUAAGGGAGCUUGACUGCAAGAGCUACACCUCGAGCAGGGACGAAAGUCGGCCUUAGUGAUCCGACGGCGCUGAGUGGAAGGGCCGUCGCUCAACGGAUAAAAGUUA